GGAAUACACACAUAAAACUGUAUCAUACCCUCAAUGAAAGAAAAUAAGGAGAGAGAGCAAAUAAAAGCAAGCGUACAGACGGAGAGAGAGGUGUGAAUAUCAGAUGAUAUUCUAUCGCAGUCCUCCUUCAUAAACAACUGACUUGUCUGAUUUAGCUUAUUUUUGACUAUUGCAAGAGAUGUAAUUAAAUUAUUCAAUAUAUUAUUAUUAUUUGUAUUAUAAUUUUUAUGG
rnacentral:lncRNA from 1 species